AUCCUGAUGAGGAUGACGAAGCCUCUUGAUAGGAAGUACCGUAUGACACUUUAAACAACAUUUGUGCCAACCAGUUUCUUGCACUUUUCUCUUCAUUUGCUCCACUCAAGUUCUGAAAGAAUUGGGCUGUAGUGUAUGUCAAAUGAUUAGUGUAAAUUGACUGGAACCGGUCAUGAUUGUGUGUGUGAGAGAUUUUAAACGGGUCUUUGAGGGUU